rnacentral:rRNA from 1 species
GGGUCAGUAGGUUGGUCGUGCCACCGGUACGUACUGGUCUCACUGAUUCCUCCUUCCUGAAGAACCGUAAUGCCAUUAAUUUGGUGUUGCGGGGUAUCAGGACUGUUACUUUGAAAAAAUUAGAGUGUUUAAAGCAAGCUAACGCUUGAAUACAUUAGCAUGGAAUAAUGAAAUAGGACGAUCGAUCCUAUUUUGUUGGUUUCUAGGAUUGACGUA